GACGUAGGAGGCGAGCGUUGUCCGGAUUCAUUGGGCGUAAAGAGCACGCAGGCGGUUUGGCAAGUCGGAUGUGAAAACCCGAAGCUCAACUUCGGGCCUGCAUCCGAAACUGCCCGACUAGAGGUAGGUAGGGGAGAUCGGAAUUCCUGGUGUAGCGGUGAAAUGCGCAGAUAUCAGGAGGAACACCGGUGGCGAAGGCGGAUCUCUGGGCCUUACUUGACGCUCAGGUGCGAAAGCUAGGGGAGCGAACAGG
rnacentral:rRNA from 1 species